UUGCCCUUGUAGCACCUCCGCUGUUGCCUGCUGGAGCCCUUGUGAUUGCAGGUCCUGAACAGAGUUUAAACAUCUCACAUGAUGGACUGCUGCUCAGAACAACUUCUCCUGUGGACUUCUCUGUCUCACACACCACGCGGAGUCUAUCAGCAUCCCUGAAAGUUCUACCUUCAACCUGUAUUCAUAAUUUGACCUCUUCUCACAGCCUCUGCUACCCAGGAUUAGAUUCAGGUAAAGAUUACAUCAAGGAAUUGAGUGCUGAUUAUAGAUCAGGACUAUUAACGGAGCUGUGUGCAGUGCAGAAGUCUUCUACUAUUUCCCAUCCAUAUGCAGGAGCCACUAUCCCAAGUGGUUAUUAAACCCCUGAAAUAUGAAUAGUGCGACCAAGGAGCUAACAUUUAGUGUCAGUGUCUAAUUAAAAUGUAAAUGGCCACCGGUGGUUAGGAGUUUCCAUUCUGGAUGGUGCAAGUCUAAGUAAUGAAAUAUCUUUUGAGUGCAGCAGCAUGCAAGGCCUUUGGAAAGUUUGGUGUCUGCAGUAGGUGGGACCUUUGAACAGGUUGGGGGGAAGAAGCAGGUCGCUGUGAUGUCAUCGUGGGUGGCCCUGGGAAUGACAAACUGAGGAGACUCGACAGUGUGGGAAAUCAGGAGGGAGAGGAGGGGUGGGCAGCUCAGGAGGAGCAAAGGUCUAACAGUGUCCACUGGAGCUUGUUACUGAAUUGGAGAAGAG
rnacentral:lncRNA from 1 species